GUGUGCCGUUAGCCUUGAUCCAAAGCAUGGGUAGAUGGAAGUCGAACGCUUUUCAACAUUAUAUUCGACUUGAUAAUUUUCACACUUAGAUUUAAUAUAAUCUCAGUCGCUUAUUAAGUACUUUGGUAGAGGUCAACAUGGCUUGCUUUACCUUAUUGUGAUUUUUUGUAUUUACUUUUAGAGAGGUCAACAUGGUUUGCUCUGCAAAUUUAAGUUUUUUUUUUUUUUUUAUUUCAGUCAUUUACUAUAUGUAAUGGUAUUUAUUGGGUUGGUAGAGGUCAACAUGGCUUGCUUUACCUUUCCUUACAAGUUUAAUUAUCAAUGAUUAUUUUGUAUACUUAUAUAUCAUUUCUUUUUUGUUUUGUUUUGUUUAUAAUAUGUGUUAUUAUUUUUGUAGAGGUCAACAUGGUUUGCUCUACACUUUUACUGAAAUGCUAAAGUUAAAAAGAGUAUAUUUUAUUCAAUUUUGGGUGUUUUUUAUUGAGGUCAACAUGGCUUGCUCAAUUUUCUAAUUCUGGAGUUCCUAAGUUGAAUACAGAGUCCUCGGUUGGGGAUCCCUCUUGGGAUUUGUGGCACUUUUUUCAACCCCACCUUUGCUUAUUAAAGUCAUUGUCAUUUAUGCAGUACUAUUAUAAUUGUUAAGAUGUAAGUUGCAUUUUAAAUUAAUUUCUGAAUAAAUGACAUUUUAC
rnacentral:lncRNA from 1 species